UAGUUCGGAUUGUAGGCUGCAACUCGCCUACAUGAAGCUGGAAUUGCUAGUAAUCAUAGGUCAGCAUACUAUGGUAAAUACGUUCCCGGGCCUUGUACACACCGCCCGUCAAGCCAUGGGAGCCGGGGGCGCCUGAAGUCCGGGACCGCGAGGACCGGCCUAGGGCGAAACUGGUAACUGGGCUAAGUCGUAACAAGGUACC
rnacentral:rRNA from 1 species